rnacentral:rRNA from 1 species
CGAACGGGUGAGUAAUACGUGAGUGACCUACCUUUGACUCUGGGAUAAGCCUGGGAAACUGGGUCUAAUACCGGAUACAACCAAUCUCUGCAUGGGGUGUUGGUGGAAAGCGUUAUGGAGUGGUUUUAGAUGGGCUCACGGCCUAUCAGCUUGUUGGUGAGGUAAUGGCUUACCAAGGCGACGACGGGUAGCCGGCCUGAGAGGGUGACCGGCCACACUGGGACUGAGACACGGCCCAG